UGAGGAAUAUUGAGCAAUGGGCGGAAGCCUGACUCAGCAACGCCGCGUGGAUGACGAAGGCCUUCGGUUGUAAAUCCUUUUCUGGGGGAAGAUAAUGACGGUACCCCAGGAAUAAGUUCCGGCUAACUACGUGCCAGCAGCCGCGGUAAAACGUAGGGGACAAGCGUUAUCCGGAUUUACUGGGCGUAAAGCGCAUGUAGGUGGCUUGACAAGUUGGAUGUGAAAGCUCCUGGCUUAACUGGGAGAGGUCAUUCAAAACUGGCAAGCUAGAGGAUGGAAGAGGAGAGCGGAAUUCCCGGUGUAGUGGUGGAAUGCGUAGAUAUCGGGAGGAACACCAGUGGCGAAAGCGGCUCUCUGGUUCGUGCCUGACACUGAGAUGCGAAAGCGUGGGGAGCGAACGGGAUUAGAUACCCCGGUAGUCCACGGCUGUAAACGAUGGAUACUAGGUGUAGGAGGUCAUUAACCCCUUCUGUGCCGAAGCCAACGCGUUAAG
rnacentral:rRNA from 1 species